CUGUCUAACGUUAAUAGCCAUUUUUAAAUUAACGUGAUAAGUUUCAAGUAAACAAAGAUUUAACUCAUGUAAUUUAUGUAUGUCUGGAGAAAGAAAAUUUUUCUUCGUUACAUGUGUACGUGAUAUCUACUAACAAAUGUUUAAACGAUGAUAAUAUUGAUAUUUAACGUGAUGUAGUUCCUACACCGUCUACUAUUCGUAAAAGCAUCUACGUGAUUCGAAGUAUAGUAAUUUGUUAAAGUUAAUGUAAAAUGGAAACGAAAAUUGACGGUGAACGAACUCAUUCCAUAAAAUUGCCAAGUGCGGUCGAAGUGUUUGCAAAUUUAAAAAAUGCUCAAAAAUUUGCGAUUGACAUUGGUUUAUCUUUGACAAAAAUAGCUUAUUAUUCAACAAUUAGUUACCGUAAGGCAUUGUAUGAGGAUGCAGGCUUAGGAAAUAGUGGAGAACGUGCAUACAAAGUACAUGAAGGCAAUAGACUUCACUUUGUUAAGUUUGAAACAAGAUAUAUUGAAAAUUGUUUGGAUUUUGUAAAACAGAACUUAGUAGAUGUUGAGAGAUUUCAUGGUAAAAAUAUUAAAGUGACUGGUGGAGGAGCUUACAAAUAUAAUGGUUUGCUACAAGAAAAAUUAGGUUUAAUAGUUGAUAAAGAAGAUGAAAUUGCUUGUCUAAUAAAAGGUUGUAAUUUUUUACUGAAAAAUAUAUCUUGUGAAGCGUUUGAAUUUGAAAGACAAGGAAAUCCUGAAUACAAAUUUCAAAAAGCUGGUCCUAAUAUAUUUCCAUAUAUGUUAGUAAAUAUUGGUAGCGGUGUCAGUGUCCUUAAGGUUGAGUCUGAUAAAGUAUUUGAGAGAGUUGGUGGCACAGCUACAGGAGGGGGAACAUUUUGGGGAUUAGGUUGUUUGCUCACUAAAAAGAAGGGCUUUGAUGAAUUGCUGCAACUUGCAGAAAGAGGAGAUCAUCGUAAUGUUGAUAUGUUAGUGAAAGACAUUUAUGGAGGUGAUUAUUCCUCACAAGGUUUAUCUGGAGAUCUUAUUGCAUCUUCUUUUGGCAAGGUUACUUAUUAUAGUGGUGAAGGAAAACCAAAUUUUUCUGAAGCAGAUCUUGCUAGAAGUCUUUUACUUACUGUAAGCAAUGAUAUUGGGCAAAUAGCAAGUUUAUAUGCAACUGUGCAUAAAAUGAAUAAAGUUUACUUUUGUGGUUAUUUUCUUCGUAAUCAUCCUUUGUCAAUGCAUACUAUUUCAUGUUCUAUCAAAUAUUGGUCAAAUGGUAAAGUAAAGCCUCUUUUCCUUCGCCAUGAAGGUUACGUUGGUGCAAUUGGAGCUUUCUUGUAUGGUGCUGGACAAUCUGAUGAAUGUAGUUGGCUGGAAAAUUAUGCAGGCUCUUCAGGAUUUAAAGAAUCAAUAUCUACUAAUCUUGGAAUUAAAGUAGAUCAAUUAGAAAUUGAUCAAGCAGAAACUGCUGUAACAUUUUGUCCACUUUUGAAAGAUCCUGCAACUUACAAUCCUGAUACAACUGAUCUUGCUGAAGAUAAAGAAGCAAGAGAUUAUUGGCUUCAAUGUUUUGAAGAAUCAGUGGAUAAAUUUGUGGCUAGAGCUAUUCAUAGUCAGCCACAUAGUCCAACUGCAAAAGAUAGAGCAACAAAAUUGAAGGAAAAGUACAUUAACAGAUUACAUUAUCUACAUCUUCAACCAUUCGCUUAUGGGACACUUACUGUGAGAGUAUUAUUGGAUACUAUUGAACAUUGCAUGAAAGAAUUCGAUUUUCCUGAUCCAUACUUACAUCAAAAGAAAAAAGAGAAUGAAGAAGCCUUAACAUAUCUAAAAAGUCGGAUAACAACUCUUGAUAAAUUGGAAGGAGCAGAAAAAAUAAAAGCUUUGAUCCUGGGAGUUCUGAGUGGUAAUAUGUUUGAUUGGGGUGCGCAAGCUGUCGCAAAUUUAAUGGAAACAACAGAUUUUGGUUUUGCCGAAGCUCAAGCAAAAAUACCGGGUAGACCUUGGUUGCAAGAUGACUUGGAUGAUUGGAUAGAAAGAUUGAAAACUGGUCCACCUCAUAAAUGUGCUGCUAUUUUCGUUGACAACAGUGGAGUUGAUAUAGUAUUGGGAAUUUUACCAUUUGCGCGUGAUUUAUUGCAACGAGGAACAAAAGUUAUACUGUGUGCUAAUUCUAUGCCAGCAUUAAAUGAUGUAACAUAUCCAGAGUUGGUUGUAACAUUACGAGAUGCAGCAAAAAUAUGCAAGGUUAUUAGACACGCUUUAAAAGAAAAUCGUUUAAUUGCUAUGGAGACAGCUCAAGCUGGCCCUUGUCUUGAUUUAAGCCGAUUGAACUUAGAUUUAUGUCUCGCGAUGGUGAAACAUAAAGUUGAUCUUAUCGUAUUAGAAGGAAUGGGUAGAACACUUCAUACGAAUCUUCAUGCAAAGAUGACUUGCGAAUGCUUAAAAUUAGCAGUUGUUAAAAAUCGAUGGUUAGCACUUCGAUUGGGUGGUGAUAUAUACGCUGUAAUAUGUAAAUAUGAACCGCCACCGACGAAAACUAAAAUUUGUGAUGUAAAAAUAAAAAUGAAAGAAGAAUGCCCAUCAGAAUGCAUGGAGAGUGCAACAGAUGUUUGCACGUGCGAUAUAAAGGAAUAAAUGAUGAAAACAAAUUCAAACUUGAUAUCUAAAAGUAUUUUACUUGUAUUUAGAUAUUUUGAAUAUGACAUGUAUUCGAAUGUAUUUGAAUAUGAAAAUUUUAGUAUUGACGAGAGAUAUUGAUGAAUGAUGACUAACACCUAGUCAAAAAUAAUAAAAUUAUGUUCUCCAUGAUUUAAAAAGGAGGCUUUAAUUUGAAGGAAAUAAUAGCGACCAAUUGUAACAAAUAUACAGACAUGUAUUAUAUAAUACUGUACAGUACAUUUUCUGUGAUAAUGUAACGUUCAAAUAGAAAGUUACAUAUUCGUGUAAAUUAAAGCAGUAAAUUGAUAGACAAUAUAAUAGAAUAAUAGAUAAAGCAGUUUAAGACAUUAAUGUUUUUGAUUUCGAAAUUUUUCGUAUAGAGAUGUAUCAUCUCGUGUCAAAUUAAAAAUUCUUUUAUCGAAUAUAUCUCUCUUUUCGUAUAAAAGGAAUCAAAAGAAAUAUUAGUUAUAUAAAAUUAGUGAUCAAGAUAUAUGUCGCUAAAAAUGACCAACUUAUUAGAAUACAUUUUUUUCGCAGAUUUUCUAAAAAGAACGAAAACGGAAAUGAUUAGAAAAAAAUUGUUGAAAUUUAAAAUGCCAUUAACAUAGUUUUCAAGUUAAAGAUUUCUAUCAACCAUUUGUUAAUGCUCAAUAUAUAUAGUAUAUGCGGUUUAUUAAUAUACACUGUCAUUUUCUUAACUAUGAACUUGAAAAUAU